GUGAGUGACAGUUUUUAAAUCCAUUACCAUUAGAAAACCACAGGUUUUAAGAAAAUUUUAUUUUCCAUUUAUAUUGAGGUACAAUUGACAUAUAGUAAAUUUCACCCUUUUAAGCACACAGUUCUUAGAAUUUUGAAAUACAGUUAUGUAACCACCACCACAAUCAAGAUACACAACAGUGCCAUCGGCCCCUAAAAUUCCCCCAUGCCUCUUUUGUAACCAUCCCCUCUUCAAACCGCAGCCCUUGGCAACCACUAAUCUGUUUUUCUUCCUGUAGUUUGGCUUUCUUAAGAAUGUCGUAUAAACUGAGUCAUGGAGUAGGUAGCCCUUGGUAUCCUGCUUCUUUCAGCUAGCAUAAUGCAUGUGAGAUCCAUUCAUGCUGUUGUGCAAAACAGUAGUUUGUUUCUUUUUAUUGCUGAGUAAGGAUUUUAUUGUAUGGAAUGUACCAGUUUGUUUAUCCAUUCUCCAGUUGAGAAACAUUUGGGUAGUUUUUAGUUCCUGGUGAUGACAGAUAAAGCUGCUGCAAACAUUCAUGUGCAUAUUUUCGUGAGGAUGUAGUUUUCAUUUCACUUGAGUAAAUGCAAAGCAGUGAGAUUGCUGGGUCAUACAAUCUCGUCCAGAAGUAAUAUACGUCAAGAAAGAAGAGAUUAUAAAUGUCUAGCAGGGACUGUUAGAAAUAUAUUUGGUGCCCUUGAUGAUUUCUCAAUCAAGACAGGGAACACUGAGGUACAACCACAUAGAGCAUCGGAGCUGCUACGGUAAAGGGGAAGGAGAGAUUCCUACUCUGGUUGAUGACACUGGAUCCUUGCAAGCUGGACAUCUCGGAACAACAGACACAGCUGUUCAACCUCAGAGACUGGCAACUCUUGAGAAUCUCAUAAUUUUCCAUAAAAUCUAUAAAUAAGUAUUCCUCUUUCAAAAGGAGUACAGGGCCCCCUCUGCUGGGAUCCAGGAACAAGCUAGCAAGGCCUCCAGACAGGGGAUUUCCACUGAUCCUUUGUCACUACUGAGCCCAAAAGUGCACGGGCAGCAAGUUACCAAAUCGCCUUCCACAAGGUCUACAAACCCAUCUGGGACACAUGGCAGGGACCAACACGCUUCUAGACUUCCCAUGUUCCAAGUCCACUUCUGCCGGCAGAAUAGAAACCUCGUCAGUUAUCACAACUCAGGGAGGACAAAUGGAUUCCUGAGGUGCAGGGCAAUCAACAGAUGAGAUCCAAGAGUCAGAACCCUGGAAUGGACCACCAGAACUUUCCCAUGGAGCCCCAGGACUUCUUCCCCCAAUUCCUGCUGUUUCUCCUCCUCCCUGUAGCAGGCUUCUUAAAGCAGGUAGUUUGACCUGCUGAGCAUCACAUUGCAUAAAACAAUGCCGGAAGACUUGAGCAAUGGUGACUUACCAAGACAGCUGGCUGCCUAUGUUUAUGGCAUUUGGAAUCCACCGGGAACACAUACAUUUGUCACAGUGUGUUCCCGAAAUAAAUGAGGCUGUCUCCCAACUGGCCCCAUAUAAUCAACGCAGCCCAGCCCCACAUAGCUACUCCAAUGAAUAAUGCUUUGUUUGCCAAAUGCAAUGGGAACCUACCACAGGCCAGGGUGCUUCCAACAACAACAACAACAAGAAACUAAAGACAGUAAGGGAGAAAGAGUGGGUAUAAGCACUUAUCAAUACAUCAGACUGGAAACUCCUAGAAUGGAAUUAUUAGAUGCAUGUAUUAUUUGGGAGCAUUAUGACCAGGAAUAUUAAUAAAACUGUGAAUAGUAUGUAUUCUUUUCAUAAUUUUGACUUAGGGAAGAGGGCAAAAAAAUAACUGUAGCUAGUUUUAGACAUCCAUAAACAAAAUUCUGUAUUACUUUCAGGUAAGACAAGAGCAAUGACAACACAGCACCACAAGCCUUGCCUGGGGUAGAGAGAUAUUAUACAAGGGAAACUGUUUAUUUGUUAGAGAAUCAUACUCAUAAUUCCCUUAAGAGUCUCUUAAUUAAUUCCCCUAAUUAGAACUUUAAUGGGUCUCCCUUUUCAUUUUCUAACAUCUUACACUGGCUACAUCAUUGAAAUAGAAUGAAAAGAAUAAACCUCUCUGCUAUUUUUUUUUAAGGUUGGC
rnacentral:lncRNA from 10 species